UAGGGAAUCUUCGGCAAUGGACGAGAGUCUGAUCGAGCAACGCCGCGUGAGUGAAGAAGGUUUUCGGAUCGUAAAACUCUGUUGGUAGAGAAGAACGUUGGUGAGAGUGGAAAGCUCAUCAAGUGACGGUAACUACCCAGAAAGGGACGGCUAACUACGUGCCUG
rnacentral:rRNA from 1 species